UAGGGAAGAAGCGAAAGUGACGGUACCUGCAGAAGAAGCGCCGGCUAACUACGUGCCAGCAGCCGCGGUAAUACGUAGGGCGCAAGCGUUAUCCGGAAUUAUUGGGCGUAAAGAGCUCGUAGGCGGUUUGUCGCGUCUGCCGUGAAAGUCCGGGGCUUAACUCCGGAUCUGCGGUGGGUACGGGCAGACUUGAGUGAUGUAGGGGAGACUGGAAUUCCUGGUGUAGCGGUGAAAUGCGCAGAUAUCAGGAGGAACACCGAUGGCGAAGGCAGGUCUCUGGGCAUUAACUGACGCUGAGGAGCGAAAGCAUGGGGAGCGAACA
rnacentral:rRNA from 1 species